GCAUCAGGGUUGGGAUCGAACCCACGACCUCCUGUAUACAAGGACCUGAAUGGAGUGGCUCAUGUUGUAAUCGAAGGAGAGCGUGAGCUACUCGCAGUGUGGUUCCUGAAGAAGCUACCAGCACGUGGAGCAAAACGUCAGACAUCGCGCCGUAUCAGGCGCGGUUCCGGUCCGAAGAAUGUGCCGGAGAGGUCGCAGGUCAUAACGGCAAAGCAAAACAAUGUCGUGGUCCACAUAACCUCGCUUUUCACGGACUUUUAUUACACCUCCGAUUAAGUACACCCGCACCUCCGAUGAGUAUACCACCCACCUCCGAUGAGCACGGUUGGCUACGUACGGUACGAAAUAAGUUCAACACACUUACAUUUAAAUCGACUAAUAGCAAUACGUAUCAUUUGUUUAAACACAAACGUGCCACCAUCUUAGAACUUUGAACUGCAUACUGUGGCGUUAUUUUAUACAUGCGAGUGGAAUCUGUACAAAAAACCCAACGAUUAUCUGCAAAUGCUGUGCUCCAAUUUCCACUUGAAAAAAAAUCCUGCAUGCACGCCUGUCGCAACUACUUUAAUAGCCUACAUUAAAGCUUACAAUUUGUCACGUUGUUCAAAAAAAGGCACCCGUAAAUAUGGUUAUUAUUGUAUCGUUUGACUCACGGUGCUAUGAUACAUUUUUUGUUUAAAAAAAAACGCACCCACCAUGAUUAUAUUUUCUGAUUCACGCUUGCAGUAUUCUUUUUGGAGUUCAGAUGAAAGAGAUAAUGGACUUUAGUAAAAGCACUGUAACACCUGAAGGAAAGUGGCAUAGAAAUACCAAUUAAACCAAUAAAACAUAAUACGUAUUAAUGUGCACAAAACAAGAAGCAAUAUACAAUUAUUUAAAACCUCGUUAAGAAUGUGUCAUAAUUUAAAACUCCACAAAUGUGACGACAUGAAAUGCAUGCAAAUAUUUAUUUGGUUCUUACGUGUGCUGUCUAUUCAGCACUGUACACGACUUUAUUCUAUUUGGGGCUUUCCUUCACAAGCUGCAAAUAAUAACCUGAAAGAAAAUAAUUUUCUUAUCAGAAUAAUUAGUUGUUGGAGAAUAUACAUUGUAACCAUUCGAAAGGAAGUGCUUUGUGCGUAAUUGUGUUUAUUUUACCUACAAUUACAUAUAUAAUCUAUCCGUUAUCGUGCAAAGCAUAUACUAUCUCUGCGGUGUAUCUUUGGCGAGAUAUAUAUUCUAAUUUGGCGUAUCUGAAUGUGGCAUCAUAACGAAUGAUCAAACUGUGCUUUGAUACCGGUAAUCUUGCUUUGAUUCCUGACUGUGUAAUCAGCAUUGGCACGUGGAAUGCGAAUCAAAUCUGGGCCUCCCCAAGGUCAACUGGUCACCUCAGCUUGGUUUAGGCAUUGUGGAUGACAAAGUCAGAUCGGUUCAUGUGGUUGCUGUCACCAAGAGUAUUCGGCAUUAUAAUGGGGGAUAUCUGCGACCAUGUACUAAAUAACAAAUACAUAAAAUGUUCAUACGUCACAGCAGUCAGUGUCGUUGGAAAACCAAACAUCAAUCCGCAGACCUGUGGCACUGAUAUGUCGCUCUCUUACGGGAAGGCAUGCUAUGUUCAGUGUGCUGUCUUCCAGUGAUGUACAUUAUCAGGGAUGCUAUUUGUCUUGGCCCAUUGCAAUUUAAAUGCAUGUUUCUCCCUUGUGAAAGAGAGUAUAUAUUUUAUGGGAUCUCCUCUCUGGCAAAAAAAGAAUAAAACAUUGAUUCAUUUCAUGUAGCAUGCAGAUACUGUGUACAAAUGCUGCAAUGUUUAAACUAUGUAACAUUUAUAUUGACUUAUAUAAUGACGAUACACAUCUAUGAAAACAUGUUUAAAAAUAUAUUUUAUGUUAAAUAUGAGGCUCAUAGUUCAGGGACCUGGACAUCUGUCAGCAUGAUUUUUCAUACCAAUUUUAAGAACCAUUUGUCAGUGAACAGAAUCUCGGGCCCAAAUAAAAUAGCUGUGAGUUUUACUGGCACAAUCCGUUUCUUUGGCAUCGUACAAAAAGUCAACAUUGAAAAUAAAAAUUGUAUAUGCACAACGAAGUAUGAAAAUGUAUUUGCCGGUAUACAUGUGCAUAUGCAAUCUCUAUCAUUAGAGUGCAUAUAUGGUUUAUAAACACAUGACAAAACAUAAUAUGUGGAUAGUUAUCCCUGCUGCUUAGUCAUGCUGUGCAGUAAUUUCAUACAGAAAUUGGUACCAUGUCAAGAUGGAUAUAAAUAAAUAAAAAUAUCACACUUUUUAAUUGCCCAAUUUCAACGAUAUUCUGUUUUAAUGAGCACUCGAAUCUAAAGUGUUGGACUGCUCCGAUGCCCAAAAUUCUCACCACCAAUUCACGCUAUUAUAUGACUUAAAAAAAGAUAAAAUUCACACUUUUUUAUUGCUGUAAUAAUAAACGUUCAGCGAUGUGAGCAGUGGACGACGUUCUGCGCUCAGG